UAUAAAACUCAAUCAUGAUUAAUGGUGAAAAUAAAACAUUUUAAACUUGCCAAGAAAGUCCAGCCAUAAACCCAACACGUGUUCAAAGGGACUAGAAUGAUCCUCAAGCAACCAUGAAACCAUAAGAACUUUAAAGCCCAGAUACUGUACAGGAUACAAACUAUUUCUGAGAAGAAAAAAUUUCCUCACUAGUACCAUUUACCAUUCAUGUACCUUGUCUUGCUACAACAGCCAACAGGCUCCUUGUCCAAAACCAGCCCUACAGAUGGACUCUGGGCGACAAAAGCCAACAAAAGAGGCCUGAAAACCAACAAAUAUGUAGAUUCUUUGGAUUCACUUAGAUCACUAUUAAUCCUACAUUCAAGUUACUACUUGUUAGUGGAACCAUGUGAUAGGUGUGGAGGUGUUUUGAGGUGGCAGUGGCAUCAUGCAGUGCUGUUGCUGCCAUUGAGGCAAGCCUUGUGUUCCCCUGAAUUCAUUAAAUUCAUUCCCAUGCUCUUGCUCUAUGGUUUCAUUAGUAUUCUCUUCAAUAUCCAUUGUUGCUUCCCCAACUUGUUCAGCCUCCAUUAGUUCCGGAGACUCUGCCUGAGAGAUGUCCUUAUCUUGGGCAAUAGGAAACUGAGAAGGAACC
rnacentral:misc_RNA from 1 species